rnacentral:lncRNA from 1 species
UUUUCUUUUCUUUUCUAUUGUUGUUUUCUAUUUGGUUCUUUUCCUCUUUUCUUUCUUUUUCUUUUGCUUUGAAUCUUGCUUGCUACCAUUAUUUCUUUGCGAAACUUCUGUUGACUCUUCGAUUUCGAUUAUAAUCCAAGGAUAGUGUAAGUUCCGUUAAGUUAUUUUGCGGUUAUUUUGGUGUUAAUUCAUUCGUUGUGGUAAGGUGAAAUUAUUAGUUUAAUCCUUGUAACACAUUAUGAUAAGUAUUCUAUUGAUUUUCUU